UGGCUCAGAGUGAACGCUGGCGGUAGGCCUAACACAUGCAAGUCGAACGGCAGCACAGAGGAGCUUGCUCCUUGGGUGGCGAGUGGCGGACGGGUGAGGAAUACAUCGGAAUCUACUCUGUCGUGGGGGAUAACGUAGGGAAACUUACGCUAAUACCGCAUACGACCUACGGGUGAAAGCAGGGGAUCUUCGGACCUUGCGCGAUUGAAUGAGCCGAUGUCGGAUUAGCUAGUUGGCGGGGUAAAGGCCCACCAAGGCGACGAUCCGUAGCUGGUCUGAGAGGAUGAUCAGCCACACUGGAACUGAGACACGGUCCAGACUCCUACGGGAGGCAGCAGUGGGGAAUAUUGGACAAUGGGCGCAAGCCUGAUCCAGCCAUACCGCGUGGGUGAAGAAGGCCUUCGGGUUGUAAAGCCCUUUUGUUGGGAAAGAAAUCCAGCCGGCUAAUACCUGGUUGGGAUGACGGUACCCAAAGAAUAAGCACCGGCUAACUUCGUGCCAGCAGCCGCGGUAAUACGAAGGGUGCAAGCGUUACUCGGAAUUACUGGGCGUAAAGCGUGCGUAGGUGGUUAUUUAAGUCCGUUGUGAAAGCCCUGGGCUCAACCUGGGAACUGCAGUGGAUACUGGAUGACUAGAAUGUGGUAGAGGGUAGCGGAAUUCCUGGUGUAGCAGUGAAAUGCGUAGAGAUCAGGAGGAACAUCCAUGGCGAAGGCAGCUACCUGGACCAAC
rnacentral:rRNA from 1 species